CGACCGAUAGUGAACCAGUACCGUGAGGGAAAGGCGAAAAGAACCCCGGGAGGGGAGUGAAAUAGAACCUGAAACCGUGUGCAUACAAACAGUAGGAGCCCGUGCUUGCAUGGGUGACUGCGUACCUUUUGUAUAAUGGGUCAGCGACUUAUAUUCUGUAGCAAGGUUAACCGAAUAGGGGAGCCGAAGGGAAACCGAGUCUUAACUGGGCGUUAAGUUGCAGGGUAUAGACCCGAAACCCGGUGAUCUAGCCAUGGGCAGGUUGAAGGUUGGGUAACACUAACUGGAGGACCGAACCGACUAAUGUUGAAAAAUUAGCGGAUGACUUGUGGCUGGGGGUGAAAGGCCAAUCAAACCGGGAGAUAGCUGGUUCUCCCCGAAAGCUAUUUAGGUAGCGCCUCGUGAAUUCAUCUCCGGGGGUAGAGCACUGUUUCGGCAAGGGGGUCAUCCCGACUUACCAACCCGAUGCAAACUGCGAAUACCGGAGAAUGUUAUCACGGGAGACACACGGCGGGUGCUAACGUCCGUCGUGAAGAGGGAAACAACCCAGACCGCCAGCUAAGGUCCCAAAGUCAUGGUUAAGUGGGAAACGAUGUGGGAAGGCCCAGACAGCCAGGAUGUUGGCUUAGAAGCAGCCAUCAUUUAAAGAAAGCGUAAUAGCUCACUGGUCGAGUCGGCCUGCGCGGAAGAUGUAACGGGGCUAAACCAUGCACCGAAGCUGCGGCAGCGACGCUUAUGCGUUGUUGGGUAGGGGAGCGUUCUGUAAGCCUGUGAAGGUGUGCUGUGAGGCAUGCUGGAGGUAUCAGAAGUGCGAAUGCUGACAUAAGUAACGAUAAAGCGGGUGAAAAGCCCGCUCGCCGGAAGACCAAGGGUUCCUGUCCAACGUUAAUCGGGGCAGGGUGAGUCGACCCCUAAGGCGAGGCCGAAAGGCGUAGUCGAUGGGAAACAGGUUAAUAUUCCUGUACUUGGUGUUACUGCGAAGGGGGGACGGAGAAGGCUAUGUUGGCCGGGCGACGGUUGUCCCGGUUUAAGCGUGUAGGCUGGUUUUCCAGGCAAAUCCGGAAAAUCAAGGCUGAGGCGUGAUGACGAGGCACUACGGUGCUGAAGCAACAAAUGCCCUGCUUCCAGGAAAAGCCUCUAAGCAUCAGGUAACAUCAAAUCGUACCCCAAACCGACACAGGUGGUCAGGUAGAGAAUACCAAGGCGCUUGAGAGAACUCGGGUGAAGGAACUAGGCAAAAUGGUGCCGUAACUUCGGGAGAAGGCACGCUGAUAUGUAGGUGAAGUCCCUCGCGGAUGGAGCUGAAAUCAGUCGAAGAUACCAGCUGGCUGCAACUGUUUAUUAAAAACACAGCACUGUGCAAACACGAAAGUGGACGUAUACGGUGUGACGCCUGCCCGGUGCCGGAAGGUUAAUUGAUGGGGUCAGCGCAAGCGAAGCUCUUGAUCGAAGCCCCGGUAAACGGCGGCCGUAACUAUAACGGUCCUAAGGUAGCGAAAUUCCUUGUCGGGUAAGUUCCGACCUGCACGAAUGGCGUAAUGAUGGCCAGGCUGUCUCCACCCGAGACUCAGUGAAAUUGAACUCGCUGUGAAGAUGCAGUGUACCCGCGGCAAGACGGAAAGACCCCGUGAACCUUUACUAUAGCUUGACACUGAACAUUGAGCCUUGAUGUGUAGGAUAGGUGGGAGGCUUUGAAGUGUGGACGCCAGUCUGCAUGGAGCCGACCUUGAAAUACCACCCUUUAAUGUUUGAUGUUCUAACGUUGACCCGUAAUCCGGGUUGCGGACAGUGUCUGGUGGGUAGUUUGACUGGGGCGGUCUCCUCCUAAAGAGUAACGGAGGAGCACGAAGGUUGGCUAAUCCUGGUCGGACAUCAGGAGGUUAGUGCAAUGGCAUAAGCCAGCUUGACUGCGAGCGUGACGGCGCGAGCAGGUGCGAAAGCAGGUCAUAGUGAUCCGGUGGUUCUGAAUGGAAGGGCCAUCGCUCAACGGAUAAAAGGUACUCCGGGGAUAACAGGCUGAUACCGCCCAAGAGUUCAUAUCGACGGCGGUGUUUGGCACCUCGAUGUCGGCUCAUCACAUCCUGGGGCUGAAGUAGGUCCCAAGGGUAUGGCUGUUCGCCAUUUAAAGUGGUACGCGAGCUGGGUUUAGAACGUCGUGAGACAGUUCGGUCCCUAUCUGCCGUGGGCGCUGGAGAACUGAGGGGGGCUGCUCCUAGUACGAGAGGACCGGAGUGGACGCAUCACUGGUGUUCGGGUUGUCAUGCCAAUGGCACUGCCCGGUAGCUAAAUGCGGAAGAGAUAAGUGCUGAAAGCAUCUAAGCACGAAACUUGCCCCGAGAUGAGUUCUCCCUGACUCCUUGA
rnacentral:rRNA from 1 species